UACAUGCUAAUUCACAGCGCUUCAUAUAAGGAGAAAGAAAAACACAAAACAACUUGAAUUUACAUCACAACACUGUUAGAUUGUUGUUGUGUUGUUAUUUCAGACAUCUGAAAAUGAUUUUCAUGUUUGUUUUUCUCUCUUUCUGCUUCACUUCUCUGGUUGGUGUGUUUAGUGAUGAAGUGAAGUCGGUGAUGGAGGGAGAUUCUUUUACUUUAAACGCUGAUACUGAAAUAAAGAGUCAAGAUGUGAUCAGCUGGAGUUUUGGAUCUAACGGGACUCUCAUCGCUAAAAUUAAUAAAGCAGCUAAAACGACAAAAACUUAUACUGAUGAUUUUGAUGGCAGAUUCAGAGACAGACUGCAGUUAAAUGAUCAGACUGGAGAUCUCAUCAUCACAAACAUCACAACACAACACACUGGACUUUAUCAACUGAUCAUCAGCGGCAGAUCGAAUGCCUUAACAAAACAAUUCAAUGUUAUUGUUUAUGUACUUGUGUUCCCUGGGUUCAAACCCAUAACCUUUUGCACUGCCAACGCAAUGCUCGACCACUGAGCUAUACAGGAACACAUAUUAAGUCAAGUUUUUACUGUCUUAUAUUACAAUUUGGCAUUUUAAUGAUCAUAAUUACUCUCAAUAGUUGUUUUAUAGUAAUAAUAUAUGCUUUUGAUUUUUAUUUUUGUUCUCUUGUGUUUUCCAGCUCAUCUACCCGUUCCUGACAUCAAGAGAGACUGUACAAAAAACUCAGUCUCAAAAUGUGUGUUGUUGUGUUCAGUGUUGAAUGUGAGAGAUGUAAGUCUGUCCUGGUACAAAGGAAACAGUUUAUUGUCCAGCAUCAGUGUGUCUGAUCUCAACAUCAGACUCUCUCUACCUCUGGAGGUUGAAUAUCAGGAUAACAACACAUACAGAUGUGUACUCAACAAUACCAUCACAAACCAAACUCAACAUCUCAACAUCAAUGAUAUCUGUCAGUCGUGUUCAGAUUGUUUUUGCUGUUGUUAUGGUCCUGAAGCUGUGAUCCGAUUGGUCGUCUCUGGUCUGGUGGGUGUAGCUACUGUUGCUGUUUUGGUUCAUGACAUUUAUGGCAUCUCCUGCAGAGAUGAAAAGAAGAAAAAAUCACAGACACCAUAACAUCAUCACCGAUAAAAUGUACUUUCUAGUUUUUCUGAAGUUUAAUACUUUAUAAUUUUGAAACAAAUUUUCCACUAUCUUUUAGGUUUUUAACAAAUUUUUGUAUAUAUUGACUAUACGUCUAUGAGUUUAAGGUUUAAAAAUUAGGUUGUUCAGUUGAACAUGUUCAAGGUGUGUGGCUCUACAAAAAUUAUUUAAAAAAAUUAAACAGCUAAUUCCAUUGCCCUUAAUUUUGUAAUAAUUUAUUUUCAUCAUAAUCAUUCAAUCCCAUAAGGGCGUGGGAAUUUGCAGGAAACAGUUGUGACUAGCUAGCUAGUUUCUCCAAUGAUGCAUUGUACAGGAAUGCACCACAGGUUAGGUGAGUUGGAGAUGUCAAACUGUCCUUCACCAACCUGUGCGUAGAUUAGCUUGUGUGUAAAUUAAUUGGUUGUUCCCAUGAAUAUAGCCAUAGAUGCUGGAAUGGUGUUAAGAUACUGGAUAAAUAAAUAAACAUUACACUCUUUGACAUUUAAAACUGAAUUGACCAUAUGCAUGGCUUAAUGAACUUACACUGAGAUUGGAUUAACCCUUUCCCCGCCAGC